rnacentral:lncRNA from 1 species
AUGACAUACCUUCAAAAAAACAUUAACUAAGACAUUAUAAACAUACAAUAACAUAUGUUCAUAACAUAUAUUGAAGGUGAGAAAAACAUAAGAAGAGGGGUUGAAUUGUGUUUUCUUUUUCUUUCUUUUUUUCCUAACUGAAAAUUGUAGUUCAGAAGGAGAUAGAGUUCUACUUCUGAAGAGAUGUUCAUAACUAAAUGCAGCGGAUAAAACAAAGAGAAAGAGAGAAGAAAGACACAAGCAAUUUAUACAGGUUCCUUCCACAAACCGGAAGUCAGUCAUGUUCCCGUUGCACUUCCAAGGGGAGUUCACUAUGUAAUAUCUGAUUACAAAUGCUCACUACUAAACUUAGUAAGAGACUUCAAAUUGCUCAAGCACAACUACAAGAGACUUCCUAUGCUCCUAAACACAAUCAAGAGACUUCUAUUGCUCAAGCACAACUGCAAGAGACUUCUUAAUUCAAACAGAAUUACAAAGAAAAAUGUUUGAGGUUGAACACUUGAUAUACAAUCAGUGGUGUUCACAAAACAAAUCAGAUACAGACUCUAAAGACUCUAGAAUUCCUAAGAUAUAAGCUUUGUUAAGAAAUUCUAAGUGAACUUUGAAGUGGAGAACAAUUUCAACAGAGUUUUGGCUUAGCUGAUGCGUAGUAUUGUUCUUAUGUAACUCUGAGUCUUCACUCCUUUAUAUAGAGGUGUGAAAUAGACGUUGAAAUGUCAUCACAUUCAAAAUAGAGUCGUUUGAAGCUUUUGAUCUAUCACCAAUGAUCCUUUGCCUGAUAUGGUUAUUGUCCUAUGAAAGAUCAAUUUCAAAUGCGUUCCCAAUGUGAAUAAACAUUGUUGCAGGCAGAGCUGUUAUCUUUGUCUUGUAGCAGAGACAAAAACAGAGUAGUGGAAGUAGUGGUUGUACACUUCGUACAAACGUACUAUGUCAACGCUCUUUGAAGAAUCAGCAUCCAAUGCAUUUCAAAAUAGUUGUUGCCAUACUUUUCCAGUCUUCUGCAAUUUCUAAGCAAGUUAGAGUCCUUGAAACAGCUUUUGAAAACUUUAAGUUCCACCUCUUGAUGAACUGCAGCUUCUGGUGAUACACAGCUUCUGAUGAACUUGCUUCUGAUGACGUCAUCACUUCAUGAGCACUUUGUCUUUAGGAGCACUUCAAACUUCAGGAGCAGUUUUCUUCAGACGCUUUAAGCUUCCCUUUUUGUUGAUGUACUAGCUCUUUAUUUGUUCUUUCAAGACCAAUUUAAGAUGUCAAAUUUUGUCUAUAGUCCUGUACACUUGAACAAAUAUUAGCUUAUCCAGUUGACAAUUUUUAAUACUUUGUUAUCAUCAAAACUCUUAAAGGUUAUUAUUGUUAAACAAAUUUUGUUUCAACAUAUAUUAGUAAAAUUCAAAAUGCUAAACCAUAUACAUAUAUUAAAUUAACAAUAUCACGUAAGUUUGUGACUUAUUUGUCAACUCCAUAAUAAUAAAUAAAAUAUCAUUUUCAACUUAUACGUAGAAAUAAAGUAAAAAAUAUCUUGACCACUUAUUUUCAUUUUGAAUCAAGCGCUUCAGAUUUUCUUUCAUGUUCUUAAUAAAUCUCGAACAAAUUUUGUGCACAAUAUGCUUAUACGUCAAAAGAAGCUCAGUUUGAUACCUCUUUACAAAGAGAGGCGGGAAGAUAUUUUCUCUGUGCAUUAACAACAAUCAUACAAUGAGUUGCAUGGAAUUCAGUGACACCGAAUGCAUGUUAUUGGUCAAUAUACUUAGUAAUAUUGUAAAAAUUCUAUGAGUAUAUUGACCAACAACAGUAAAAUGAGAUUGAGAUUUCUUAUGCAUACAUAACGACUUACCCAAACAUUUGAAUCUGCAAUUCUACUUUAACAUUAUCCUCAGCGUCAAGAAAACCUUUUUCACAAGCAUGCUCAAGAUGAAAAUCAUACCCUAGGUGAAUCUUACAAACUGAGUGGAAUCGAUCUGAAUAAACUCAGAUGAAAUAGUUAGUAGUCGUAAUUUUUUUUAAAUAAUAAUAGCUUUAUUUGAAAACCUACCAUGACAUUCAGUUAGCCGGUAGUCAAGGACCUUGGAAUGCUGUCUCUGUCAACAAAUAACUGAAAUUGGAACCUGGUUCCCCUCCGACGAACUAUGAAAUUCCUGCAUUAAUUGGCAUAUCAAUCUUUACUUAUAUCUUUACAAUUAUUCACUCUUGAAUAUAUAAAAUAGAAAAUUAAGAAAUUUGCAUACCAUUUACACUCUCCAACUCCAAUGACGAAAGAAUGGCGAUGUCGAGAAAUCGGCUUUAGUGUAAACAAUUGUUUUGUAUAUAGUUUUGACGCAUCAUUACCAUCUUCAACAAUGUCACGGGAUUCCAUUUUUUGUUAGUAAGUGAAGAUAUCUUCUACUUUUUUCUAUUGCUUUUCUCACCCUCCUUUCUUCAGAAACUGAUGGUAUUUCCUUUUGUUUCUUUAAAUAUAUGGUUAUCGUGCACUAUUUAGGGUAACUUGCUUAGGAAGCAAAGCGAAUCGUUCAUGUCUAAUGUUUUCCCCUUUUCCUGGGUUUGAAGGUAAUAGAAGCAGCUCGCCCUGGUCUAUUCCAAGAGAAGAGCACUGUAGUAUGUAUGUGUUUGGACUAUGCUAUAAAAUUACCCUCAAUUCACUAUGCUAUGCCAACAUAUCACAUAUGCAAAUAGUCUCUCUCUUAAAGGGGAUAUGUAAGUAUUUCAAUUGUAAAUUAAAGUUAGUUGUUGAAAAACAUAUAAGUGAGAUAACCAAUAUACCCAAUGUAUAAAGAAAGGAUUUUGAUUAAGAUAUGAUGUCAAUCUCACUUAUGUAGUUGCUCUUAACGUAAUGUGACGGUUCAACCCAUUGUCGGAGCUCUUGGAACUCUAAAUAUUAUGAUGAGCUGCUUUGUUAGUUUUUUGAUAUCAUUUGUUUAAUUUUUAUAUUAAAUUUAAGUGUUUGGAUGUCGUUAACUUUCAUGCAAUAUUUUUGAAUCAAUCUAUAUUAUUUCAAAUUCCUUCACUUUUGAUUUUUGGUGGAGUUAAAAAAGAAAAACGUUGUUGUAUUAUGUUGAGUUGAAAAAAUAUGUGUUUAUUAGACAUUUUUAAAUGUUGUGACGUUUUUUCUAAAUUAAGUCUAGUUUUUUUUGGUAAAUUAAUCAUCCAAAAAUCUCCAACCCCUUCAACAAAAUCAAAACAUUAUCAAGAACCGACUCCAUUCUUGAAAAAACAGAUAAUUCUUUUAUUUGUACCCGUAUAAUUUCUCUCGAUCGCAAGUUUUUUCAUCUUCUUUCUUUUUCUAAUUUUCUUUUGUUUCAUGAAAGAAAGAAACAAUAUCUUAUAAAUUACCAUCAACCCAUCUUUUUGACAAUGUUGUCUCUCUGUUUGACCUUAUAUAUAUGGCUAUGUCAUAAUUAGGGAUGUGAACAGUCAAACUCUUAAAGGAGAGGUGUUAAUAUAUUAAAUAUGAGUUAAAGUUCUACAAUAGAAGAAAGAGUAGAUGUGAAAUAACAUAUAAGUGAAUGUCCUAUAUACAUAUGCCUAAGGAUUUUGGACCAAUAUGCAUGUAGUGCCAAUCUUAUUUCUAUGAUUUCUCUUAGCCUAAGGUGAUAUGCAGGCUCUAAGGGAAGUUUGAUAAAGUGGAGUAAAAUGGGGAGUUAGGGGUAAAAUUUAGUUUUCCAUUGUAUAAGAUUUUCUAAUAUAUAUAUAUAUAUAUAUAUAUAUAUAUAUACAUGAGAUGACUUUAGCAUAAAGAUACUUAUAGGGACGGCGCUCAUACAUUUUCUUUGUAAAUAAUACUCUCUCCAUUUUAAAAUAUAUAUCGCAGUACCGUGGUUAUAUGUAACACCCCGUUUUCCCAAUAUACAAAUUUCUUAAACAUUUAUCAGAGUAAAAACCAUAACGGGAUAUCACAUAGAAACGUAAUCCAAAAACAGUUAAAUAAUAAUUUAACUUCCACAUAAUAUCUUAACAUAGCAGCGGAGUAUUAGUUCAGAAAUCAUAAAUCAGUUUGGCACGCAGGCCCCAACAAGUAUCUCAAAAGAGUUUAUCAAAGCAUAAAUUAUCAUGGCAGUUCACGUAAAAGAAUGAAGCAUGUUAUAGCAUUAACCCCAUCCCGUUACGUAUCAGAGCGACCUAGACGACACAGAGAGGCAAGGCCACUCACAGAAGCAACUGCACACUAAGCACGAUCACCUGCAAGUUACCCAUACGAAGGGCAACAUUUUCAAGCAGAAGGGGUGAGAUUUCAUAAUAAAAUAACAUUAAUCAAUGUAAUUGCGAAUCAUAAAUUAACAUCAUAAUCAUCCCAUUAUUAACUUUGCAUAAAUGCUAAACAGUUGUCACGUAAUCAUAUAUCCAAUCAUUAUAAACAACAUAACAUAAUCAAUGAACACUUAUCACGUAAUCACAUAUCCACUCAUCAUCAACAAGGCAUCUUAAUCAUGACAAUGUGACAAUGCUCCUAGACUCCUUAUAUGCAUGUGGUACCAAUCGUCAUCAUAAGUAUUAAUAUACUUUAAUCGUGCGGAGGACAAAGCUCCUAUAAAACGUGCGGAGGACAAAGCUCCUAAUUUUCGUGGUGAGGACAAAGCUCAAUGAUAUGCUAUGCAUGGACACAUAUGAACAAAACAACGUAAUCGACUUAUCAACAUGCAUCCAAUAAUUUGGAGCUAAACUUCAUCAUAUACUUAUGCACUUAGUUAAACAACGGAAGCAGCAUAAACAAGUCACAUAUCAAGAUGAUAUCAUUAUAUCAAUAGCACAUAAAUUGCAUUAUUAUCACAUCUUCUCAUUUUGCAUGAAUAUACAAUACAAUAGUUCUUAUCCAAUUAAUAUUAAUAUAACUUAAACAACUCUACAGUCUGCAUUAAACAACAUCCCUAGGUCUCAUUACCAGCUAGGGGUUCACUCUUGAUCAACAAGUGCGACACAGAUCGCACAAACACAAAAUCAAGUUCAUCCUGGUUGUACUCGCGAGGCGAGAGCUCUUACUCGCCAUGGCGAGUACCACUCAACUCCCAAACUAAGGUCGUUCUGGGUUCCCUCUGAUCCUACAUUCAUUCCUAAUCAAUACUAGGUAUGUUCAGGUACUCAAGGAUAUACAAGGUUCAACUAAAAAGGUCGAAACACGAAACAUGACAUGCUCUCUGCCUGAGCUCGCGAGGCGAGAAAGGGUUGCUCGCCAUGGCGAGUUGGACCAAACAACUCGCGAGGCGAAGGACAGGGGCUCGCGUGGCGAGCGAUGAAGUUCAUCACUCGCGAGGCGAGGAUCAUCACUCGCCGUGGCGAGCGAUGAACAGAAGCACGGGCAGACUAGGGUUUUUCUCAAAAAUCCAUCACACAACAUGGUUCAAAGCCUAAUUUUGAUUCCAGAAUUCAUCCUAAACAUAUUCUAAGGUUAAAGGACGGUUUCUACAUCAAUCUAAACAAGUUUUACCGUUUGAUCAUCAAUUUUUAGGGUUUUAACCUAAUUCCAAAACUUCUCUAAAUCAAUCCUAACUUUGUCAACUAAUCAUCAGAAUUACAGUAAUUAACAUUAUUGAAUUAUUAGUCUCACACUUACCUUGAAUGAAGAAAAUCGCAGCACUCUACCUUGAUUCCUCUAGACUUGGCUUUUCUCCCUUCUUCCAAAAGUUUUCACGUACAAUGAGUUUCUAAAAUAUUAGGUCUUCUCCUAUUUAUAUCUUUUUCUAAUUACUUAUCUUAUCUCACUUUCUCCCCCAAAACUAUCUAAAAUAUCAAAACAGCCCUCAACUAAAUAUUUUAUAUUAUUUUCAAAUCUUUAUUUUAUUUAACAAUAAAAUAAUUCCCAUAUCAUAAUCAAAUCCUUCAAUACUCAUAACUUAACACGUCAUCGAUCAAAUCAUCAAAACAUACCAAAAUCAUGCAUAUACUAUAUAAUUAUCAUAUAAUUGCCUAAUCUCGAUUAAAUAACGAUUAAACGAAAGUGGGCGUUACAUUAUACGGUUGGUGGCGGUGAUGGAGUAUCUGUUUCUAACUUGCAGUUUGCUGAUGACACAUUGUUGUUAGUCGAGAAGAGUUGGGCCAAUGUUCGAUCCAUGAGGGCGGUUUUAGUCAUUUUUGAACAAGUAUCGGGUUUGAAAGUCAAUUUCCGUAAAAGUAUGUUGACAGGAGUUAAUGUACCAGACUCGUGGUUAACGGAGGCUGCCAUGGUUAUGAAUUGUCGUGUGGGCACGUUCCCUUUUGUGUAUUUGGGGCUGCCUGUUGGUGGGGAUGCUCGGAGAUUAGAAUUUUGGAAACCUGUUGUUGACCGCAUUGUAAACAGACUGUCGAACUGGAGUAGCAAAUUUUUAUCAUUGGGGGGCCGCUUGAUUCUCCUGAAAUUUGUCAUGUCGUCUCUUCCGGUUUACUUUCUUUCCUUCUUCAAGGCACCCACAGGUAUAAUUUCUUUUAUUGAAUCUAUAUUUAAAAAAAAAAAAUAUGGGGAGGUUGUGAGGAAUCUAGGAAAAUUGCAUGGGUAGAUUGGAACUCAGUUUGUCUUCCAAAGGAGGAAGGAGGUUUGGGGGUGUGGCGGUUAUGUGAAUUUAAUAUUUCAUUAUUAGAAAAAUGGUGUUGGCGGAUGUUAGGAGAAAAGGAUAGAUUAUGGUAUCGAGUCUUAAAGGCUAGGUACGGGGAGGAGGGAGGGAAGUUGCAGGAGGGUGGUCGGGAGAGCUCUUCGUGGUGGAGGAUGAUUUGUGGUGUCUGCAAUGGUGUCAGGGUGGGAGUGGGGAGUUGGUUUGAAGAUAACGUCCGUAGGAUGGUUGGCGGAGGAAGAGAUACUUAUUUUUGGACUGACAAUUGGGUGGGUGAAGUUCCCCUACGGGUGCGCUUCCCCCGCCUUUUUGAGUUGGCUGAAAACAAGUGGGCGAAGGUGGAGGAUAUGGAGCGGCGCGGGUGGGAGGAGGGGGUGAUGCGUGGGGAUGGCGUAGGCGCCUGCAUGCUUGGGAGGAGGAGAGUGUCACUGAAUGUUCUAUCCUAUUACAUGAUGUUGUUUUGCAGGCUAAUGUUCAUAACAGGUGGAGGUGGCUUCUUGAUCCCGCUCACGGCUAUUCAGUGAAGGGAGCUUAUCAAUAUCUAACGUCGGUGGACGAGUCUCCUGAAAGGGAAUUGGUGGAUGAUGUGUUGCUUAAGCAAGUUCCACUUAAGGUGUCGUUGUUUGCUUGGAGACUUUUUCGAAAUAGAUUAUCUACCAAAGAUAAUUUGUUACGUCGACAUGUAUUGCACUUAAACAACGUAAAUUGUGGGGGAGGGUGUGGCUCACUUGAGAAUGUCGAGCACCUCUUCCUUGGUUGUGAUUUCUUUGGUCGGGUGUGGACACAGGUGUUACUUUGGCUUGGUUUAUCAUAUGUUGCUCCGGUCGGAUGUAGAGACCAUUGUCUUCAGUUUGGACAUAUGGCGGAUUUACCCCAUUUUUCACAUUCUUUUUUACAGUUAAUUUGGCUCGCUUGUGUAUGGACUACAUGGAAGGAGAGGAACAAUCGCUUUUUUACUCAGAAGGCUACAUCAAUUAGCAUUCUAUCUGACAGAGUGAAAUUACUCUCAUUCCAGUGGCUUAAAGCUAGGUUGCAUUCUUUUGCCUUCAGUUACCAUGACUGGUGGCAACACCUAUGUCUUGUAUGGGUAUUUUCAUGUAAUCUUCUUUGUUUUGGUUGUGAAAGUAUGGUGUCUGUAUUUAUGGCACCAGUGAACUGACUUUUGUAUCGUUUUUAAGUGAUUCUCUUUUGCACACCUUGUGCGAGAUGAAUCACUUCUGGUUAUAAAAUUCUUUUUGGCUUGUUCAAAAAUAUAUAUAUAUAUAUAUAUAUAUAUAUAUAUAUAUAUAUAUAUAUAUAUAUAUAUAUAUCGCAGUUUUAUAAUGUGCAUUAUUCAUAUUACAUUUUUGACUUUAUUUUUGAACUAAUAUAUAAGUAAAACAUUUAGCAUGUAAGAUGUUGUUUGGUUUGUCUCAAUGAAUAUUUUCAAAAUAUCAAAUUUUUAUAAUUUUUUAUCAUAAAAAAUAUAAGAUAUUAAUGAUCAAAGUUGUUUAUUAACAUGUGUGAAGUGGUUAACUGCCACAUAUAUUAUAUUUUAAAAAGGAAAAAGUAUUAUAAAAUAAAAUAAAUAGUAGCUAGCGUGAACAUAUAGCACCAAAUAAGUUGUUUCAUAGUACCAUUCAACUCCUUUAGGUCAAAGCUCCUUCUAUUCAGUUUUUUGCAAUCCAACCUAAUUCAUAUUGUGUUUGGCCCUCCCUAAAAAUGUUGAGAAGUACCCCCUCCGUCCCAGCAUGUAAACACCCUUUACAUCUAAUAAAAGGGUGUUUAAAUAUAAGGACGGAGAGAGCAGAAAAUAAGUCAGACCAAACGAUAGGUAAGUAAUUGUAACUUUAUCUAGAACUUAAGUUUUAAAAAGAUCUUUAUAAAUUUCAUAAAUAUCCUCUUAUAAAAAUAAAUUGUAAAUACAUUUGUUUCGAUUCAAAAAUCAUAUUUUAAAAUUUGAGGGUAUUACAUACAAUUUUCACAUUGAUAUGCUAUAACUGUAAUAUAAAAUUUUGUUAACAUCGUUAUAACAUAGUAUGAAACCCGGAUACAUAUAACAGUUGCGGGUACGAUAUAAUGCGGCUACACGAAUACGCGAAGUUUUUAAAAUUCAGGACAAGAUACGGCUAAGAUGCGUUAACAAAAUAUUUAUACUAAAACUUAUAUACAUGUAAAAUACUUGAAAAAAAUAAGCAUUUAUUACUCUUCAAUACUAUAUAAUCAUAAAAAAUCACUAUUUACAAAAGACAAUACGUGUAAUCAAAAUAAAAACAUGUAAAAUUUUCGUAUAAAUCAUAUCGUAUUUUCAUUUAUAUGUUAGGAUAUCAACAAAUGUGUUAAAGAACUCAAAACAAAGUUUGUUUAAUGUUGAUUGACUGAAUCUCCUGAUCUCAUUACUUUUGUCCACCAAAAAUAUGAUUUUUAAUUGGUUAAUCGAAAAACAAUUAUAGUGAUUCGUGUCUUAAAUUGAAUCAUAUACAUCUUCAUUUAAUUUUUACAACACAACCUCACUUUUUUACCCUUUAGUUUUUUUUUCGAUACGUCUCUGUAAAGUAUCUUAUAAGUAUCCGAUAAAAAAUACAUUUUAAAUUAAAAUAAUUAAUUUCAAUAAUCAAUGACUACGUAUUCGCGGAGUACCGGUAUCUGAUAGGUAUCUGAUACAGAUACGUUUCCAUUUUAGAAUAUUUGAGCUUCAUUUUAAUUUAUAAUUAAUGUUGUCACAUCUUCGAUGUGUAAUAUAUACAAACAUUUGUUUAUUUAUCAUUCAUCGUUUUUGUUCUCUUUUUAAGAUUUUAUAUAUGAGCAAUGCUAUAUAUCAAGAAAGAUUUUAUCAAGAAAAUUUCAAGAAUGACAUGGCAGAAUAAUCAGCCUUAGAUUUUAUCAAGAAAUAGUCUUGAAACUAAUGUUAGCCAAUAAAAUCUCAGCCUGGCCAGAAAUCAUGGGUGGUGGGUGUUAUGUAUUUUUUUUUAUGAAAGAUUAAUAAAUGAGACUGAAAUCUAAAGGUGAUUAUUGUGCCAUGUCAUUCUUGGAUCUUUCUUAUAAAAUCAUUCUUGAUAUCUAGCAUUUUCCUUUUAUAUAUUAAAAAGGUUAGAAGAUAAAUAAAACUUAUAAUGAACUUUCAUGAUUAUCAAAGAUUUUUAUUUGAGAUGUUUCCUGAGGUUAAGUUAUUGAUUCCGUGAUGUAAAGAGAAAGAGAGAUUUGUAUAUAAAAAUAUGUUUGAUUUGAAUUUAGAUUUUAUUGCAUAUUUAAACAUCCUAAGAUUUAUGUAAUAUCUUUGUAUAAUAUCAAACAAAUCGUCCUAAGAUUUGUGUACCUUCUCGGUUGGUUUAGAUCGUGCCACUAACGUAUUAUAAAAAUAUAGAUGAUGAAGAGAAAAGUGAAAGAAAUAGUAUUUUUUAUGUAUAUGAUUCUAUUACGAAUGAACCAAAUUUAAUUAUAGAGAAAUACAAGAGUUCGGGAAUGAAUUAAUAGGCCAUCUGUUUGAUCCAAUGACUAAUGGGCAUCCAUCCAUAAUAUAUUCAUCACACUUUCAUGCCUAUCAAAGAUUUUUAUUUGAGAUGAUUCCUAAGGUUAAGUCAUCAAUUGAGUGAUAUAAAGGGAUAAAUAUGAUAUAUUGAUUAGAAAUGUUUAAUAUUAAUUUCAAUUUUAUAAAUGACUACGAGGAACUCCUAAAUGUUAAAUAAAAUUUAAUUGAAGCUAGUUAACCAUUAAAUUUUUAGUUAUAAAAUGGAUCAAACUUUUUUUUUAUAACAUGCAAAGGAAGAAACUUAUGGCUCAAAUUCACUUAUGUGUUUAUGCUUUGAUUAUCUUUCUUUCUCCAUUUCUUGCUUUAACAAAUGACCGUAGUAUGUCACACCAUUUUCUAAUUUAUUUUAUUAUCAAAAUAUUAUCACCUUUUAGUGACAUUCUUUUUGCUUAUAUGACAUUGCAGUUGUGUAUCAUGGCUGUUAUUCUGAUGAUCAAUGUCCAAAUGAGUGUCCUGCUAUUCUUAUGAGGUGCAUUCACAGCCUUUGUGUGGAGUUUAUCAGAACUGAUCCGCUAUUUAUAUGAGGUUCAUCCAUGGCCUUUGUGUGGAGUUUAUCAAAUAAUUAUAUAAUUUCAUAUGUAUGUCAUAGUAUUUGUAUUUUUAUAAUUUACCUCAAAGUUUGAGUAAUGUUUCUCUUUUUUUAUAUAUUGAUUUAUGUUUCUCUCGUAUCAAAAACAACAAUAUUCUUGUAUAUUUAUAGCUACCUUGAUAAAAAAAAUUAUAUAUAUAUAUAUGGGAGACAUAUCAAGUGUGAGGAAUAAUUAUAAUGAGAGAUGAGGAUCAUUAGUUGGAAUAACUAUACAAUAUUUAUAUAUUGAUAUGGCAAUUGACAGUAGUUGGAUCAUUUGGCAAUUGACGGUAUUUGUGGAGUUUAAAAAAAGGAAUAAUUGAACGUAGUUUUUUUGUUAGUUUCUAAAUUGUCCCAAUGAUGGAUGCCUUGAUUUUUGUAUAGUGUGACAAAUUUUGUAAAUUAUUAACUAUAUCAAGGACCUAAGUAUGAAGAGAUGGUUAAUAUUUGGUUAGUAUAUGAUCAGUUGUCUGCACAAUUUGGUUCAUCUCAAUUGAUAACUGGUUGUACAAUCUUGAACAAUUAUGACGAGCAUAGUUUUCUUGACUAGAAAGGGUGUUUCUGAUUGUGAGUGUGGCGUGAGUAGCUAUAAGGUAGGGUUCCCAAAACAUGCUUUUGAUUGACUAUUUGCACAGUGACAACAAAAUCGCGGUUUUGCUGUGAUUUUGCCUUAGGGGACCCUUUUCGACUCCGUUUUCGAUUAUAUACUCUCCAAACUUGACCCUAAAAUUCAUCUCAUGACUACCCUAUCAUUUAAACACUAAUUCUUCGUUAACCUACCAGAUUAUCAACUCUUUUUAAGGUUAAAAAACUUAAUUCAAAAACCUAAAUUAGUAUAAUUAAAUAUAAAGAAUGAAUUUGUACAGGAAUUUUUUUUUAUAACUUUAUCAUGAAUUUUGAUACUGCAAUGCUAGUAACUUGAAUAAUGGAAAUAAAAUUGUUUUGGGAUUUGACGUUGAAGAUCCAACCUUUUCUUUUGUACAAGAAGAUUCAUCCUUUUAUUCAUGUUAGAAUGAUAUGUUUUAAUAUUUUUGUUUAUGAUUUCAUUGUAACUAAUGAUAGGCUUGUUCAAAUGUUUUUGUCAACAAAAAAAAAAAGGGACUCUAGGCUCAAGCAUCUUUGAGAGAUCUUAAUCUUAAUCCUUUAUUAUAAAAGUUAUACUUGGUUCACAAACAUGUUUGCCCUAAUUCGCCCUAAUUUUUUUUAAUCCCCAGCAUUUUUCCCUCCUAAACAUGUACUUAUUGCUAAUUUAAUCUCACUGUUGAUUCAAACUCUAUUUUUACACUUGAUCACACCCGUUGAUUCAAAUUAUGUUUUCAAACUCCUCAUUUUCUCUCAUAUAAUUUAGGGGGUGUAUUGGAUCAUGAUUCUAAGGGAUUUUAAAAGACUUUUUUAUCAUGAAAAAGUCUUGUGAUAUUCAAUCAAGACUCUUUCCAAUUUAAAAAAAGUCUUGUGUUAUUCAAUCAAGAUUCUUUGUCAUUUAAAAAAAGUCUUGUGGUAUUCAAUCAAGACUCUUAAUCACUUAAAAAAAGUCUAGUGGUAUUCAAAAUCAUUAAAAUUUCAAAAGAUUGUUUAAUAAAUAAAAUUUUGAUGGAUUUUGUGGGAUUUUCUAGUGAAAUUUUAGCAUGAAAAAGUCUUUCAUGAAAACAUUAGAUUUCUUAGCAUUGUUUUUUUCUUUUAAAAUUUUACUAUCUCUCUCUCCUCCCUUCUCUCUCUCUCUCUCUCUCUCUCUCUCUCUCUCUCUCUCUCCCGUAAAAAACCUCUCUCUAGCUCUCCCGUAAAAAACCUCUCUCUCUCUGAUUCCUUCACUCUCUCUCUCUAGCUCUAGCUCUCCCGUAAAAAAUAAAAUAAAAUAAAUCAAAGAGUCUUUAUUGAGAUUUUGUAGCUCUAACUCUCCCGUAAAAAAUAAAAUAAAAUAAAUAAAAGAAUCUUUAUUGAGAUUUUGUGAAAGAGAGUGUGUUAUGAUAUUUUUUUCAAUUAUUUCUUAAAAUUUAUAAAAUCUGUUGAAAUCUCUUGAAAUCCAUAAAAUCAUUUCAAAUCCUUUAAAAUCUUAUGAAUUAAAUCCAUUGAAAUCCUUAAUAGUCUUUUAAAAUCAUCAAAGUCAUCAAAAUCUUGCAAAGUCUUUUAAAAUCCUCAAGACUUCUUUAAACAAAAAUUGUCCUUUAAAAUCCUAAUCCAAUACACCCCCCUUAGUUAAUGCUAAAUGAAAACGAAUAACACACUUUUAAUGCAAUUGAAUAUGUAGUUAAUGCUAAUCAAGUCGGUCAACAACCCCUACGUCUCAGCCGUAGAUCUCACAACAAGAUUUUAGAGCCCGUUUGGUGCGCAGGAUAAGGAGACAGGAUAUGAUCAGAAUAUCCUAUCGUGUCCCAAUCCGUUGUUUGUUGCGACCAUAUGAAAUGAUAAGUUUAACCUAUUUUUAAUCCUAUCCUACCCCUCUUUUGUUAUUUUAAUCCUUUACUUUUGGUGGGUUACAAACCUGAUAGGAUUAGAAACCGCUUUCACGCUUCAGCCGUUUUCACGCUUCAGGUUUUCACCUUCCAACGGUUUCACGUUUCUCCUCUCUCUCUCGUCUCAUCUCUCCCGCGAUCCCAUCUCUCUCUCACUCUCAGGUCAGUCCUCUUUUCCUCUCUCACACACACACACAAAACCUUCAGGUAUGGUUUUCCCAUGAAUCACUUAUCACUUUAUUCUUCUUCUGAUUGUUUCUAUUCUUGUGAAAAUUUGUAAUUAUUGAUAAAAAAAAAAAAAAAAUUGAAUAUUUGGAAGUGAUCUAUUGUUAUGGUUUUAUUGCAUAUUUUUUUGGUUUGAUUACCUAUUUUCCUGAUUUGAUUUCUUUCCACUUUUACAUAGUUAUUUGAGGUUGAGAUGAAAUAUGAUUGCCUAUUGUUUUAAUAUUGCAUAUUUUUUGAUAGUCAGUUGUGUUUUUGUGAAGCGAAAGAGAGAUCGUAGACAUUGGUCUGAACUGGAGGAUGAAGCAUUACUUGAUAUAGUAAUUGAAGCUGUGAACAACGGUCAAAGAUGUGACAACGGACAAUUCAAAUCACAUACCCUAAAAACAUCUGAGACAAAGAUGGAGGAGAAGUUUCCUGGAUGUGGAAUUAAGGUAAAAACGCAUAUUGAGUCGACUAUGAAGAGGCUAAGGACACUUUAUGGAAUAAUUUAUGAUAUGUUUGACAAUAUUUUGUUGUUUUAUCAUUGUACUGUUGCUUCGUUGUUUUAUUGCUACUUAUCUGUAUGGCAAUUUAAAGUCGAUACAAAUUUCAUUUUUUUGAUAUAUUUCUUUAUUGUUUUUUACUUAUUUAAGUGGUACUUUUGUGUUUGAGUAUUUUAAUUUUUAGCAGCACUGAUUUUUUUUUUGUUGCAAUUAUAUGAUAUUAUUUAAUUACUUGUCUUUUUUUAUUGUCAAAUAAAAAUAUGAAUAUUAUUAUUUUUUUCUUCAUAAAAAUUAUGAAUUUGUUUCACAAGGAUAACAUUGUAAUUUAAAUAAAAUAUAAUUUGGCUAAAAUAUGUUUUUGGUCCCUGCAAAUAUAGCGAGUUUGGGUUUUAGUCCCUGGUAAAAAAAAAAUUUGUUUUUCAUCCUCGCAAAAUUUUUUGUUUUUUAAAAAAGUCCCUAGACCCAUUGAAGCAGCCAUCUGUCACACUGAUGCUGACGUGGCGCACGCUGACUGUGCAUAAGAGGCCAUAUGACAUCUGACGUGGCAAUUACAAUUUUUAAAAUUAGAAAAAGGGUUUUUUAAUUUCGAAAAUUGAUUUUCUGAAAUUUAAAAUACAUAAAAAGCUUUAAUUUAAUUGAAAUGUAAUUAAAUUUCGAAAAUUAAUCAGUAUAGAGCAAAUCUGAAUGAACAACAGCAACAUUUGCUUUGUGGGAUUGAAACUCGAAAGGAAUCAAGAUUCAAGAGAGAAAAAAGCAGGUGGAGGACAACAACAACAUUUUUCUUUUGCUUUAGAUUCAAUUAUUUUAUUUAUUUUUCGUAAAAAAACUACACAGCAUGAACAAUAGCUCUGCAACAUACUCUUCUAACCCAUAAGCAAUAGAUAAAUUUGUGCAGCUUCCCCAACACCAUCAGCAAGCAAUUCAAGACGAAUAUAAAGCUUGUUGCUAAUCUCAACCACCAUAUUAAGCUCUUCCUCUUGCUCAAGAGCAAUAACACCGUUCAAAGCAAGCUUCCUCCCAACCAAAUUGUCUUUGAAUCCAUUACAAACCAGAAAAGCUUCUCUGUUACCUUUACACAAACAGCUCAAAGCCAAAAGCAAUUCAGGCUUCGAUCCAGCUUCCAACCCCAACCUAAACUGCCAACCAAAUUCAACAAUAUCCUCUACAAAAAACUUGUCCUGAUUACACUUCGAAGGAACAACAAACCCAUUUAGGAGAGAUGAGAAGAGAGGACGCAAUUUGGGAGUUUCAGAUUUUCCCCCUUUCUCUUUUAUGUCUUUUUUUAAUUCAAUUAAAAUAAAGUUAUUUAUUUUUAAAUACUGAAAAUGAUUUUUGAAAUUUUAAAAUUUGUUUUUUAAUUGAUAAAAACCACAUCAGAUGCCACAUGGCUACUUAUGCACAGUCAGCGUGUGCCACGUCGACAUCAUAGUGACAGAUGGCUGCUUCAAUGGGCCCAGGAACUUUUUUAAAAAACAAAAAAUUUUGCGAGGAUGAAAAACAAAUUUUUUUUUUACCAGGGACCAAAACUUACACUCUCUAUAUUUGCAGGGACUAAAAGCAUAUUUUAGCCAUAUAAUUUUUAUCAUGUCGAUAGCAAAUGUGCACCAAUUGCAUGAUACGAUAAAAUAAUGCUAUCAUCUUUUUUAUCAAGUAUGCACCAAACGCAUGAUAGGAUAAAUGUUUAUCCUCUCACUGUCAUUUCCUUUCUUUAUCCAGCUUCUUAUCAUAUCCUGCCUCUAUCCUAUCCUGCACACCAAACGGGCUCUUAAACCAUAUCCUCUCAUGAUGUUAACUUGAGAAACUUUUUAUAUUAACGAUUGCAUACCCAUUAUCAUCUCCUACCAUCAUUUUUACAUCACUAACUCUCUUAGCAUUGCAAUGCUUGAAGUGUACAAUCUUUCAUCUUCUUUCUUGAUCUCUUAUGUUUUGUGUCGUUUAUAUUUUUCAACUUGCACUAAUUUCUUUGAAUCUUUGAUCUUUUUCAGCUCCAUUAUAUCCAAAUCCUAUAACUGAUUUGGACAAGUUUGUUAACAGAUUGUGAGUUCAAUAUAAAACUCUUCGACUUGAGUUCCAUGUAACAGAUGUGAGUGCAAGAUUACUAAUAUGAAAAUAUAUAUCCAAGUUAAAAGUUCAUUUGAUCAUUUUUGUCGCUUACUAAUUUCGAAUAUAUAUGUUUUCCAGGGUGCACUUAUGUUGCCAAAAACAUCUGUCUCUGAUUUGGUGCAUCGCUAGGUGAUUACGCAACUUUUAUCGACCCUAACAACAACCAGUUUGAGGUUAUGGUUGAAAGGAUACGUGAUACGAUCUCAAAACAAGGUUUGAAAAUACUAAUCGUUGAUGGAGAUGGAGAGAACACUAAUAAGACCUCAAAUGUUGUUUAUCACGAAGUCUUUCGUAAUGUAUCUUGAUGGUUAAUGUUGAAACCUUUUUGUUAUGUAUGCUACCAUUUCAUUUUGUUGCUAUUGUAGUAUUAGAAGUGAACAUAUUUUUAAAACUGAUAUGAAACUUCUAUCAACUAUAUAUGUUUACAUUAUUGCGAUUGAUUCGAUUAAUUUCUACGUGGUAUGACCCGUGCGGUAGCACGGGUCAAGAGUCUAAUCCUUUAUUAUAAAAGUUAGACUUGGUUAGCAAACAUGUUUUCCCUAAUUCGCCCUAAUUUGCCCUAAUCACUAGCAUUUUUCCCUCCUAAACAUGUACUUAUUGUUAAUCUAAUCUCACCCGUUGAUUCAAACUUUAUUUUCACAUUUGAUCACACUCGUUGAUUCAAACUCUAUUUUUAAACUCCUCAUUUUCUCUCAUAUAACUUAGUUAAUGCUAAUUGAAAACGAAUAACACACUUUUAAUGCAAUUGAAGACGUAGUUAAUUAAUGCUAAUCAAGUCGGUCAACAACCCCCUACGUCUCAGCCGUAGAUCUCAUCCUUCCUUUAUUAUAAAAGCUAGACUUGAUGAGCUAGCAUGCUUGUCCUAAUCCCUUGCAUUUUCCCUCUUAAGCAUGUAAUUAUUGCUAAUCUAAUCUCCCAAUCACACACUUAAUCACAACCGUUGAUUCAAACUUUAUUUUCAAACUCCUCGCUUUCUCUCUCAUACAGAAAUGUCAUAAUGGCAAUUGAAAACAGUGCUAAUUAUCCUCAUAAUGGCAAUUGAAAACACAUAUUAAUGUUAAUCAACUCAGUCAACCGCUCCCUUCAUCUCAGCCAUAGAACUCAUAACCUUUCGUGUAUUAAUGUUAAUCAACCCAGUCAACCACCCCUUACAUCUCAGCCGUAUAUCUCAUAACCUUCCAUGUAUAUUAACGAUUGCAUUCCCAAUAUCCUCUCAUGUCCUCAUAUAGUGCACGUCCCAUUGUUGAGGAGUUGGUUGAUACCUCCAUAAUGACUAUUGAGGAUUUUAUUGAGGCGAGAUUGGUACUGUCAAUUAACUUGCAAUAUAUUAUAUAAUAUAAUUUUAGAAAAAUGCAGUCAACAAACAAAAUAAAGUUUUGAAAUCUAAUAGUUUGUAAUCUCUCAUUAUAUUAGGCAUAUCAUGGGACAGUACUUGCUACCAUAUGCGAGAUUGAGACUGGUGUGGAAUGGUUUUUCCGUUCAUGUACACAGUGUGCAUCGUUGGUUACCGUGGUUGAUGGAAAACUAUCUUGCAAAAGAUGCAAGGAAUGCAAAAGCGUCGUUCCAAGGUAAAUAUCUCGCUUUUUUGCGUGAAACAUAGCAACGCUAAUAAUCAAACUCGUUUAUAACUAAUAUCAUUUUUCAAUCCAUUAUAGGUUCAAGCUGCAUCUCAUUGUGAUGGAUGAGACUAGCUCGACAACAAUUGUUCUCUUUGAUCGUUUUGUCACCCAGAUUAUUGAAAGGAAUGUCCAAAAUUUGAGUUCAAAAAUGAACAAGGUUCCAAAAAACUGCUCUUUAAGGUGGAAGUUAGUGAAAAGGGACUACUGAUGAGGUUGAAGUCAUCAAUGAAUUCAUCAACAAAUAUAAUCUCAAGGUGUUUUUUGUGCAUAUUGUUUUGAUAAAAUCAUAUCAGUAUCGAGUUUUACGUGUGCCGCUAUGUAUAAAAAUUUUGACACAGAAGAAACUAUCUUUCUAAUAGGGUUCUAAUGAUGGUGAUGAUGUUGAGAAGGAAUUGGAGAUGACCACGCUUGGUAGUGAUGCUAAUAAUUUGGUGAGAAAUUUAUAAGCAAAGUAAUUGAUUUUAUGCCCUUUAAACAUAUUGCAAGCAGAAUUAUAACAUGCCUUUAUUCUUUUUUUAGGAUUUGGUUGAGUUAGAUGAUUCUUGCAGCAACUCUAACAAACUUGGAACUCCGUCAGCCAAAUUUGGAACAAAAAGAUCUUCUGAUGGUAAUACUUCAGCUGGACGUGGUGUCAUAGAAAUCGGGGAGGAAUCUAAUACCAAACCAACUAAAAUGGUUCGUGUGAAAGUUGAACCUCCAGAAAAAUAAUGAGUUUGCAGUCAAUGAAUUCUCCGUAAAUGCUAUCAAGGGGUUAUUGACAUUUAUGUUGCAGAUGUGAUAUUCAUCAACGAACCUUUUUUAAUUGCUUUCUUUUCUUCGUUUUUCUAUUUAGUUUGAAAAUUUAUCUUUUUUGUUGAUGGUUUUGUAAUCCAAACAACAUCUAUGGAGUAUAAUUAUUAUUCUCCACUUCAAGAAUCAAGUAUUCUGUUUUAAGUUCUAUUUGAUAAUUUUAUGUAGUAAUAUGUGUGAUUUGUUCAGAAGUCAACAAUGGCAAUAAUCCAAUUUGAAUUUUACAAUUAGGCUAAAUCUCUGAAAAUAUAUAUUAUUCGACACAAAAUUAAGUAGUUGUUUCGACUCGACGAGUAAAGAUUUGUAGGUACUGUCACUUUUUAGAAGUUACUGAAGUCUAAAGUUUUUCAAAUAAAUAUAAUGUCAUAUUAUUAGCAUGUCAAAAUUUUACUGUCAACAUAAAAUAAUAAGUUUAUUUUCAUACAUUAGUUGUUCAUCAAGUAUAACAUUUUUAAAAUAUAUGUUGCAAGUACUAAACCUUCUUCAAUCACGUCAUCCAUAUAACCAGUCAAUAUAUCAAAUAUUUAUAGAACUUAAUGAUAUGUCAUUGUGAAUAAUCCAAACAUUAAUACUUAUUAUUGCUAAUCGAAACUUCAGGUUAAAACUUAAUUAUAUGUCAUUAUGAAUAAUCACAAUAGAAUUUAAUGAAACUUAAUGAUAUACGAAAAUUCAACUUAAUAUUUAUGGAGCUUAAUGAUAUGCGAAAAUUCAACUUAAUGAAUGUCAUUGUGAAUAAUCCAAAAAUCUGCAACAAAUUAAUAAUUAUCAUUUCUAAUCAAAAAUCAUUAAGUGACAAAGUCUUUAAUUUUUAUAUAUGAAUUCCUUUUGGUCAAUGGAAUUGUUCUGUCUUGAACCUCCAAAAUCCCUAUGAUUCCUGCCAUAAGUGUUACUUGCCUAUCUACAACCAAAUAAAUUACUAAUCUUUCUCAUUUUCUCAUCUAUGGCGUCACCUUGCUACUACUAAUUAAGAGUGAUUUGACCAAUUUAAUUACCUAAUUAUUGUAUGUUCCAUUUCAUUUUGUUGCUAUUGUUGUCUUAGAAGGGAACAUAUUUUUAAAUUGUUAUAAAACUUCUAUUAACUAUAUAUGUUUACAUUUUUGCGACUGAUUCGAUUAACUUCUAUGUGGUAUGACCCGUGCUACCGCACGGGUCAAGAGUCUAGUAUAUAUAAAUGUUAGACAGUCUCCAAUCAACACUAUAGAGUUUUUACCAAUAGACCACUAACAUUUUUAUUGAAAUAUGGUUGCUUCUAAAAUGGAUAUGGAAUCCUAAAUGCCUUUUUUUAAGCCAUAACACUCAUUUUUAUUGUGUUUAUUUUCAUGUUUGAUUACUUUCACAUAAUUUAAUUUAUGAAUUUGAUUCGAUAUUCAUUUUUGUUGAUGCAAACUAAUAUUUUUAAUUUGCUUUUUUGAGAUUUUGCAUGUCGACCACUCUCAAUCAUCACUUAGUUUGAUUGUUUUUAUCACUUUAAAUAUAACUCUAAAAUUAAUAAUAUAGCCACUUUAACACUUUGAUAUUUUGAUACUUACAUAUGGAACUCAACAAAACCCGUACAUCGUACGGGUUAGAGUCCAGUUCUUUCAAAUAUCUCUGCAUUCCGUGUAAUUCUUAAUUCAAACUCAAAUAUUAAUCACGUUGUUAAGAUGAAACAUUCAUUGGAUAUUUCAAAUGCAAAUAUUAUUUCUGCAUUGAAAAAAAAUUAAACAUUCAAUAAGAAUAUAUCAGCAUUCAAUGUCAUUCAAAAACCUAAAGAUCCACUCUUAUUCAAAAACCUAGAAAAUCACAACUUCUAACCUUUUUAUGUUAAAAAUCACCACCUCUUUAUAUUUUUUAUUUCUUUAUUAUUAUCGUACAAAUUAAUGUACCAUUGUUGUUGUGUUGGUUGUUUUUUUUUUUUUGUUUCAUCAUAUAUAGAGUUAGGUAUCAAAAAGAUUCACAAAGCUUAUUGUUGUGUUAAAUAUAUUAUUACUGACGAUCGAUCUCAAAUCUCCACGUCUUUUUUACAAUUCGGUUUCGCGCUCACACGUGGAUUCGCUGGAUUGUCCGUGUUAGUGAAUGUUUAGAGCUGUGUUUUUUUAUACCACUGAUGUACUAUAUUGUUGUACUUCCUGGUUUUUUUUAAUCUAUUUCCUUUUCUCGCUUAAAAGAAAAAGAUCUCAAAUCUCUUUAGUUAAGGCUAAAAAUGAAACAUUUCAUAGUUACAAGCCUUGUUAUUAAUCAUUUGAUGAAUCCUUAUUUGUUUAUCUUUUGAAUUAUUUUUCAACUGAUGUAUCAUGUGAAGGGGAUGCAACUUGAUUCUAAUGUUUUUUGUUUAUUCUUUAUGCUUAGAAAAGCAAAUGAAUGGGGAGAAGGGGAAGAAUAGUAGGUUCAUAUCUAUCCAACAUGUUUUUUUAUUAUCAUUAUAGAUAUCUAUUUUUAAUGCAUAUGUUUGCUUGUAUUUUGGGUUAUAUUUCAUUGUAUAUGUAAUGGGUGUGAGUUUGUUAUACAACAUAUUCUUCGUUUGAAUACUCUUUUUGCUCCAUAGUACACCUUAUCUCCUUGGUUUAUCAAUCAAUUUUUUUUAAAUAUUUCAUUUGGUUAUUAUUAUAAGAAACAAUUGACUUUUUAAAUUCAUUGAAUAAUUAAUAUAUCUUGUUGUAAAUAUAGACUACACAAUGAACCUAAAAAAUAAAUUGUUUCUUAUAAUAAGAAUCAGGGGAAGUAUGCAUUAAUUUUAUAUUAAAAAAAAAGAUAUCUAAAAAAAGUCCAUCUCCUAAAUUAUAUAUUAUUUUACAGUAUCAAUUAAUCAUUAAUGUAAAUUGUUCCAAGUCCAAGUAGUUGGAUAAUGCAUAGUCAUGUGAAGAUGAGUGUUCAUAAUUACACCAUCUUAAACUAUUUUUUUACUGAGCAUUAUGUGAAGAUGAGUGUUCAUAAUAACACCAUGUUAAACUUUUUUUUACUGAGCAUAGCUAUAUCAAUCAAGAAAAAACAUAACGAAAGUAUAGCAAAAAAGGAAUCAAUCAAUUAUAAAUUAGAGUGGAGCGGAAUUUAAGGGAAGCCACGGGAAAAGGUGGAAGUCAGAGAAAUUGUCCAUCGAGUUUGCACUUCCUGAUAUUUUUGCGAGACAACAAUUCGCUUGAUAUAGCAUUUUUCAUUUUUAUUUUGCGCAUUUUAACAAACAUAGUUUUAUUUUAUCUAUUAUUUUCUUAAUGUUCGUGUUUGUGUUUGUGUUUCAUUUUUUUUUUUUUUUUUGAGGUGAUAAUUAUCAAAUGCAAUACGUAAUUUCAGAACCUGAGAUGACUUUACCGCAAUUUCAACAAAUUUUUAGUGCAGGGAAAAUUUGUGACAAUAUAUAGAGGAAUCAAUCAAACAUAUUGACAACCUCUUUUAGUCUCUAAUCAAAUCCACAAUUUGUUUUUAUCUUUUCGGUUGGUAAUAUUUUUUUAGUAGAAGAGAAGUCAUAUAUUCAAUUUGUAUGAUAAGAGUCAAAAAAUAGAGGGGAAAAAAACAAGAGACCAAAAUAGUGUAUUACUAACGUUUACCUAUAAAAAAUGAUUUUAUUUACUUUAUUUAUCAUUUUUAAUCAAAUGGACAUGCAUGGGCAUAAAAAUAUGGAAAUGAUAUUUGUGGAGUCAAUAUGAGCCAACUUUUUAAACAAUUUUCUCCUUCGUACUUUUAUUUUAUUUUUACUCACUCUCUCUAUUGUUUUUGUCUCAAAAUAGAAGGAAGAAAAUGGUUGUCCAAAAAUUUAUCCUAUAAUAAUGGUGCAAAUAUCAUUUCUCUAAAAUAACUUCUUAACCGUAUCACAUCUAGACUCGACUCAUAGGGCAGCAUGAAACGGCUUGCUCUAAUACCAAAAUGCAACAUCUUGAUAUUGAAUAUAAGAGUUUAAACAUUCUCUUUUCAAAUGUAAAAUGACUUUGGUAAAAUACUUUAAAAUUUUAAGUUAAAAUAAAAUAAUUUAGACUAACUUUUACAUUUCAAGAAAAUUUUCUAAAUUAAUUACAACUGCAAAAUGAUACUUUUGGAAGAUAUAAUAAAGAAAUAAGCUAGACUUUGACUGUGAUCUGGCUUCUAAUACACAUGGAAGUUAUUCCCUUCGUUUCAAAAUAAAUGUCGCUUUAGCCAAAAAAAUUGUUUUAAAAUGAAUGUCACCUUACAUUUCCAAUAUAACUUUAAUUUUUUUCUUCCAACUUUACCCUCAAUAAAUACUCCAACAUUUUUCUCACACAAUUUUCAAUACAACUUUAAGUUUGAGUUUUUUAUAUAAAACAAAGGCAGUUUUGUAAAAGUGUUAUGUCUAAUGAUUAUUUCAUUUCAUUCCUUAAUAUGUGUUCAAUUGGCUAAAGCGACACCCAUUUUAAAACGGAUGGAGUAAUGCCUAAAAAAAUAUAACCAACGUGGGGUGAGAUAUUGAUUAUCUCAAUCUGCUUCCCAUGUGAGAUAAAACACGAUCUUGCCAUUGAACAAGGUUUCUAAAUAAAGACAUAAACAUAAAGUAAGAAUUUACAAACAACAUCUAAUUAAAUUUUCAGAUAACCUAAAUUAAUUAAUUAGGCGGAGAUAGAUUAACUCUUGUAAACACAUGUCAUGUCGUAGGUGGUGAAUCCCCCUAGCUAGGUUGAAUAUCAUUAUUCCCAGCUAGAUACCUCAUAUACACUAUGCCCCGUUCACUCCCACUUAGAUAUUGAUUAGCUCAUUCAUGUUGGGUAUAUGGGUAGGGUAACAAAUAAGUGUAAGGAAGUUGGGGACUGAAACGGGAAAGGUAAAACUCGUCCUCACCUCGUCCCAUUGUCAUGCCUAGGACCUCCCAACUCUUUUAACUCCAACCCAUUACAAUGUUAUAUGCUUUUUUAAAAUGACAAAUAUUAAUAAUUACUAGUUAGAUUAAAAUAUUAAACGAUAAAUAUUAGUAAUUAAUUGCUAAAUUAAAAUAUUUACUCAUUUGUUGAGUUAAAACUCUGAUCCUCCAAUUUUUUAUCUCUUAACUCAAAUCAAAUGGGCUACCUAACUAUGUAUAACCUUACAUUCUAAUAACAUAACAUUCAAAAACUAUAUGAAAAAUGAAAAUAUUUACACAUGUGUGUGGCCCGGGCUCCAUACUAGUUUAUGUAUAAUAUACAUACUAAGGGUCUAAAUAUACCUAUAUCAUGUGUGUAUUGUUACUUUAUUUAAUAAGUAUCAUAAAUAUAUUACUUAUACGCACUUAUGACAAGAAGUUUUUUUUUCCAAGGAAAAAUAAUUUCUAUAAUUUUUUAGGUUUAGAAUUUUUCAAUAAUUUUUAAAUGCAUGCUAAAUGUAUAAGUAGAAUAAAUAAUAAAUAUACAUAAUAAUAUAUUACAUUUAUUUCUAAAGUAUAAUAUUAUAGUUGCAUAUAUAAUUUAAUUAUGCACUUUUAAUCUUGUUCAUAAAAUAUUAAAGGCCAAAAAAUUUAAUAAAAAUUUAAAGUAAAUUAUAAAAUUAUAACAUUAUGAAGUACACAUAGAAUUAUACAUUUAAAGGUGAUAUAAUUAUUUUUAAUCUUAAUUUUUAUACAAUUAUGAAGUCGCAAAAGUUAUCAACGCACUUCACAAACAAAGGAUAUGACUCUUUUGGACAAUCUGCAUCAGAUUUGCAGUAAAUGGGAUCUGCUUUAUCAAAUAAGAAAGAAAGAAAUGAAUAUUAUAAAAAAUCUAAUAUGUGUAUAAGAUAAUUAGAAAACUUGAAAAUGGUGUGUAAAACGACAUACCCCGAUCGGUUACAACAAGAAAUGGAGAAAGAAUUAAGAUCAAAGCAAAAACAGAUAUGAGAGUUUGAGCCAUAUUUUUCUUAUGUUUCAUGUAAUAAAUAGACUAUUUAUGUUCGCUUUAUAAGUAAAAAAAAUGCAUGCUUUGUUAACAAUUAAAUAGUUUUUAGUACUUAGAAGUUUCAAGAAGCCACUUAAUUAUAGAAUCGGAAUCAAUGUUAAAUUUCAUUAAUCAAUGUGUUCUUUAAUCUCAUUCAAUUGAUCACUUAACCUUUGUCAUGAUCUCAUAUAACAAUAUUAGUGUUCAUCAAAGUACAUUAUUGUUUUAUUAUACUUCAUUUUUUUUUUUAAUUUAUCAUUUACCCUUUCGUAAGAGAUAAUGAAAAUACCAAGAGAUGAGAAACAACAUUUAUGAAUGAUAAAACAAGUUAGAAGUAUAAAUAGCGCAUCAAAGAAAUGACAUCACAUUUAUUUAUAAAUUAAAAGUAUUACACUUUUUUUUUUUUGACACAAAAAAAAGUAUGAGUUGAGUAAAGGUUGUGUUAUCUUGCUGAAGGAAAGAAAGAAAAUUAGUUAGUUUUGAGAUGCAGCAUUGUCUUUGUAUCAACAUAAAUAAAUAAAAAUUCGGGUUCAGAGUGAAAAAAUAUAUAUCUUUAUGUCUUGUUUUUAAACUAAUUUUGGGAAUUUAAGUCAUAAAUCUAUAUAUAUUUAGUCAUCUAUCUUUAAAAUCUCUAGGGCAUCAUAUAUAACGCAUUUAUAUUCAGGUGUAGAUAAGUCAAUGUUUAAAUAUAUAAAUUGCAUACUCCCUUCAAUAAAUAUAUAUAUAUAUAUAUAUAUAUAUAUAUAUAUAUAUAUAUAUAUAUAUUAAUUUACCAUUUUCCACAAAUUCAGAAAAAUAACACACAGCUCAUCGAUGCUGCACAAAUUACGAAGUUUACAUUUUUUUUGGUGGUGAUAAAUUUUCAUAUAUGUUUUUUAGUAGAAAAAUGGCAAGGGAAAUCUUAAAAGUAUCAAAUAUGAGGGGGAAUAAAAUUAGGAGAAUUUUUGUGUAAGCUCUAAUUGUAGAUGAUGGGUUCCUUUUUUUAAGCAAAGGGAAAUAUAUUAAAUGAAAAACAAGUACAAAUAAGCUAACAUACAUAUACAUUACCAACAACCACUUAAGCAAACCUAUAAAUUUAUGACAUACCUCUUACUACCAUAUGGUAAUCCAUUAGAAGAUGUAAUGGUCGAUGUUAUCAAAGGGUGUCGUACAGUUUUUAAAGAAAAACCUCCACAAAAGAAGGAAGAUCCAGGAUGGUUUAACAUACCUGUUACGAUCAAGGAAUUUUAUCUGGGAGAAGUGAUGUGCGACCUCGUAUCAAGCGCAAACAUGAUGUCACUGUCACUUUUUAAGAAAAUUUGAGGGUUAGAACUUAAUCCAUGUGAAAUAAGAAUAUGACUUGUUAUUGGUUCAAGCAAAUGUGUUGAAGGUGUGGUAGAGAAUGUGGAUAGAAUCACUUUUCCUAUCGAAGUAGUUGUCAUGGAGAUGCAAGGCACUGAGAAGUUUCAGAUGAUCUAGGAGACCUUUUCUCGCCACAACCAGGGCUAUAAUUGAAGUGGAUCAAGGGGAAAUCUUCGUCGGGUGGAAAGAAGACUAUCUUGCCUACAAGUCUCCAGGCAGCACCGUUACCUCAGUAAGUAUGAUAUGCUUGAAGAAGAAAUGGAGAACCUGACAGUUGAAGAAUAUGAUCAGGUUUGGUGGUAUGAAGACAAUGAGCCUGAAGGACAGGGUUUCCCAAGCAUAAUGUAGACAUAUCUGUUAGGAUUGAGACACUAAACACGCUAUGAAUGGGAGGCAACUCAUAGUUUUAUUUUCUGCAAUUUCCCUUCCAAAUAAGCUAGGCUAAGAUUUCCUGUCUGAAACAAUUUCUUUCUUUUAUUGUUUCUAAUCCUCAUUAUUAUUUUUAAUUUUAAUUUUUGAAUUACUUAUAUAAUCUUUUCAUUCCAAGCUUAAA